rnacentral:rRNA from 1 species
GACGAACGCUGGCGGCACGCUUAACACAUGCAAGUCGAACGAGAGAAGAGAAGCUUGCUUUUCUGAUCUAGUGGCGGACGGGUGAGUAACACGUGAGCAAUCUGCCUUUCAGAGGGGGAUACCGAUUGGAAACGAUCGUUAAUACCGCAUAACAUAAUUGAACCGCAUGAUUUGAUUAUCAAAGAUUUAUCGCUGAAAGAUGAGCUCGCGUCUGAUUAGCUAGUUGGUAAGGUAACGGCUUACCAAGGCGACGAUCAGUAGCCGGACUGAGAGGUUGAUCGGCCACAUUGGGACUGAGACACGGCCCAGACUCCUACGGGAGGCAGCAGUGGGGAAUAUUGCACAAUGGAGGAAACUCUGAUGCAGCGAUGCCGCGUGAGGGAAGAAGGUUUUAGGAUUGUAAACCUCUGUCUUCAGGGACGAAAAAUGACGGUACCUGAGGAGGAAGCUCCGGCUAACUACGUGCCAGCAGCCGCGGUAAUACGUAGGGAGCGAGCGUUGUCCGGAAUUACUGGGUGUAAAGGGAGCGUAGGCGGGAUCGCAAGUCAGAUGUGAAAACUAUGGGCUUAACCCAUAAACUGCAUUUGAAACUGUGGUUCUUGAGUGAAGUAGAGGUAAGCGGAAUUCCUAGUGUAGCGGUGAAAUGCGUAGAUAUUAGGAGGAACAUCAGUGGCGAAGGCGGCUUACUGGGCUUUAACUGACGCUGAGGCUCGAAAGCGUGGGGAGCAAACAGGAUUAGAUACCCUGGUAGUCCACGCCGUAAACGAUGAUUACUAGGUGUGGGGGGACUGACCCCUUCCGUGCCGCAGCAAACGCAAUAAGUAAUCCACCUGGGGAGUACGACCGCAAGGUUGAAACUCAAAGGAAUUGACGGGGGCCCGCACAAGCAGUGGAGUAUGUGGAUUAAUUCGAAGCAACGCGAAGAACCUUACCAGGUCUUGACAUCGUAUGCAUAGCUCAGAGAUGAGUGAAAUCUCUUCGGAGACAUAUAGACAGGUGGUGCAUGGUUGUCGUCAGCUCGUGUCGUGAGAUGUUGGGUUAAGUCCCGCAACGAGCGCAACCCUUACUGUUAGUUGCUACGCAAGAGCACUCUAGCAGGACUGCCGUUGACAAAACGGAGGAAGGUGGGGAUGACGUCAAAUCAUCAUGCCCCUUAUGACCUGGGCCUCACACGUACUACAAUGGCUGUCAACAGAGGGAAGCAAAGCCGCGAGGUGGAGCGAACCCCUAAAAGCAGUCUUAGUUCGGAUUGUAGGCUGCAACCCGCCUACAUGAAGUCGGAAUUGCUAGUAAUCGCAGAUCAGCAUGCUGCGGUGAAUACGUUCCCGGGCCU